AUGAACGCUGGCGGCGUGCUUAACACAUGCAAGUCGAACGAGAAGUGAAGACGGAAACCUUCGGGCGGAAGGCUUUAUUUCGAGUGGCGGACGGGUGAGUAACGCGUGGGUAACCUGCCUCAUACAGGGGGAUAACAGUUGGAAACGACUGUUAAUACCGCAUAAGACCACAGCACCGCAUGGUGCGGGGGUAAAAACUCCGGUGGUAUGAGAUGGACCCGCGUUCGAUUAGCCAGUUGGCGGGGUAACGGCCCACCAAAGCGACGAUCGAUAGCCGAUCUGAGAGGAUGGCCGGCCACAUUGGGACUGAGACACGGCCCAAACUCCUACGGGAGGCAGCAGUGGGGAAUAUUGCACAAUGGGGGAAACCCUGAUGCAGCGACGCCGCGUGAGUGAAGAAGUAUUUCGGUAUGUAAAGCUCUAUCAGCAGGGAAGAAAAUGACGGUACCUGAGUAAGAAGCCCCGGCUAACUACGUG
rnacentral:rRNA from 1 species